rnacentral:rRNA from 1 species
GACGAACGCUGGCGGCGUGCUUAACACAUGCAAGUCGAACGGAAAGGCCCUGCUUUUGUGGGGUGCUCGAGUGGCGAACGGGUGAGUAACAAGUGAGUAACCUGCCCUUGACUUUGGGAUAACUCCAGGAAACUGGGGCUAAUACCGGAUAGGAGCUCCUGCUGCAUGGUGGGGGUUGGAAAGUUUCGGCGGUUGGGGAUGGACUCGCGGCUUAUCAGCUUGUUGGUGGGGUAGUGGCUUACCAAGGCUUUGACGGGUAGCCGGCCUGAGAGGGUGACCGGCCACAUUGGGACUGAGAUACGGCCCGGACUCCUACGGGAGGCAGCAGUGGGGAAUGUUGCACAAUGGGCGGAAGCCUGAUGCAGCAACGCCGCGUGCGGGAUGACGGCCUUCGAGUUGUAAACCGCUUUCGCCUGUGACGAAGCGUGAGUGACGGUAAUGGGUAAAGAAGCACCGGCUAACUACGUG